rnacentral:rRNA from 1 species
AGAGUUUGAUCCUGGCUCAGAACGAACGCUGGCGGCAGGCCUAACACAUGCAAGCCGAACGCUGCAGCAAUGCAGAGUGGCAGACGGGUGAGUAACGCGUGGGAACCUUCCCAGUGGUACGGAAUAGCUCAGGGNAAACUUGAGGUAAUACCGUAUAAGCCCCUAGGGGGAAAGAUUUAUCGCCAUUGGAUGGGCCCGCGUCGGAUUAGCUAGUUGGUGAGGUAACGGCUCACCAAGGCAACGAUCCGUAGCUGGUUUGAGAGAGUGACCAGCCACACUGGGACUGAGACACGGCCCAGACUCCUACGGGAGGCAGCAGUGGGGAAUCUUGGAUAAUGGGCGCAAGCCUGAUCCAGCCAUGCCGCGUGAGUGACGAAGGCCUUAGGGUUGUAAAGCUCUUUUGGCGGGGACGAUAAUGACGGUACCCGCAGAAUAAGUCCCGGCUAACUUCGUGCCAGCAGGCCGCGGUAAUACGAAGGGGACUAGCGUUGUUCGGAAUUACUGGGCGUAAAGCGCACGUAGGCGGAUUUGUAAGUCAGGGGUGAAAUCCCGGGGNCUCAACCUCNGAACUGCCUUUGAUACUGCAAAUCUCNAGUCCGAUAGAGGUGGGUGGAAUUCCUAGUGUAGANGGUGAAAUUCGUANAUUUUAGGAAGAACACCGGNGGCNAANGCGGCCCACUGGAUCGGUACUGACGCUNANGUNCGAAAGCGUGGGGGGCAAACAGGG